rnacentral:rRNA from 1 species
UACGUAGGUGGCGAGCGUUAUCCGGAUUUACUGGGUGUAAAGGGUGUGUAGGCGGGAUGACAAGUCAGAUGUGAAAGACCGUGGCUUAACUACGGCACUGCAUCAGAAACUGUUAUUCUUGAGUGUGGGAGAGGUAAGCGGAAUUCCUGGUGUAGCGGUGAAAUGCGUAGAUAUCAGGAGGAACACCGGUGGCGAAGGCGGCUUACUGGACCACAACUGACGCUGAUACACGAAAGCGUGGGGAGCAAACAGGAUUAGAUACC